UGACAUUGUUCUGAGCUUAUGGC
rnacentral:piRNA from 1 species